rnacentral:rRNA from 1 species
GGUAGUCCACGCUGUAAACGAUGAAUGCUAGAUGUUGGUGGAGGAAUCCAUCAGUGUCGUCGCUAACGCAAUAAGCAUUCCGCCUGGGGAGUACGGUCGCAAGAUUAAAACUCAAAGGAAUUGACGGGGACCCGCACAAGCGGUGGAGUAUGUGGUUUAAUUCGAAGCAACGCGCAGAACCUUACCAGCUUUUGACAUGGGAAGUUUGAGGGGGUAGAGAUAUCCUUCUUCAGUUCGGCUGGCUUCUACACAGGUGCUGCAUGGCUGUCGUCAGCUCGUGUCGUGAGAUGUUGGGUUAAG